rnacentral:rRNA from 1 species
GACGAACGCUGGCGGCGUGCCUAAUACAUGCAAGUCGAGCGAAUGGAUUAAGAGCUUGCUCUUAUGAAGUUAGCGGCGGACGGGUGAGUAACACGUGGGUAACCUGCCCAUAAGACUGGGAUAACUCCGGGAAACCGGGGCUAAUACCGGAUAACAUUUUGAACCGCAUGGUUCGAAAUUGAAAGGCGGCUUCGGCUGUCACUUAUGGAUGGACCCGCGUCGCAUUAGCUAGUUGGUGAGGUAACGGCUCACCAAGGCAACGAUGCGUAGACGACCUGAGAGGGUGAUCGGCCACACUGGGACUGAGACACGGCCCAGACUCCUCCGGGAGGCAGCAGUAGGGAAUCUUCCGCAAUGGACGAAAGUCUGACGGAGCAACGCCGCGUGAGUGAUGAAGGCUUUCGGGUCGUAAAACUCUGUUGUUAGGGAAGAACAAGUGCUAGUUGAAUAAGCUGGCACCUUGACGGUACCUAACCAGAAAGCCACGGCUAACUACGUGCCAGCCGCCGCGGUAA